rnacentral:lncRNA from 1 species
UUUGUUCCAUAACUCUUUCAUCCAUCCCAAAAUAUGAUCGCGAUGGAUAUCCAUGUCAACACUCUCAAAUUGAUCCUGCAAUACAUCAAGCAUAGAUUGAUAUCCAAUAUAAAAAUAAUAGACUCCAGGUACUUGGACAUUCUGUUUUUUGUACACUGCUACAGAGAAAGCAACAAGGUAGCUGAUUAUUUGGCAAAUAGGACAGUGAAAGAUGAACAUGAUCAUACAUUAUGCAAAUUAAAGUAAAAUGACGCAUGUUGCUGGAACUUGCUGAACUACAAGGAAAACAUAGAGAAAAAACCUAGUAGUAAUCUUUUUUUUUUAAAGAACACAAAUAAAUAAAGAGCCCCUAGACUUCGCAGCGACAUGUUCAGCAGCCACACAAAACUAAGAAAAGAAACAGAGCACCAUCAUACUGAAUUUCACAUUGAUUCGCGUUAUUGAUGCAUAUCGCAGGAUUAAGGUAGAACUGUUGUUGAUUUCAGCCGAAAGAAGAGUCUGUGAAUCACUUAGAACUCCACCCUCUUCAUUCGAAAACUUCUGUUUCUUAAAAGGAAUCCCCUGGUGCACUAGCAGCAGCAACAACAUCAACAACUAGUGCACCAGUUGUAGCUACAUCAGCAGAACAGACAAUAUGUAGAUUCAAACAGUACCAGUUACCCUGCUUCUCUUUGGGAUACUGGACACCAUCUUCACAGUGUGGGGUCACAAAACUAGAAGCCAUGACUGGGAGACACUCAGCUACUAGAGCCACACCAAUCAGGAUUUAAACGAACCUGGUUUUUUUCUUUUUGCAGGAACAGGGAUCAUACUCAGAGUCCCAAAGAGAAAUACGAAAAGUAGGAGCACCUUUCCAGCAGGGUGAAUCUUCAUUUGAGUUAUGAAGAUCUAAAGCAUCUGAACAUUUCUCAGUAAAAGUCACAGGUGGUGCACUACCGUAAGGAGCUUGAGAUCCUACCAAAGUUCAGCAGGCUUGUUUCCAAGGAAACCCUUUGACCGGAAUGCAACUGAGGUAACAUUACUUGUUAUUACACUUGUCAGAAUCAUCUUUAUGACUAAACUUCUUACGAUUUUACAAGAAUAAAAUAAACUACAAGUUGAUAUGCAUAAUAUAUAACUCACAAUUGCUCAACAAAAUGAGAAAUUAAAACACAUAAGACACUCUAAAAUUAAAUCACUAAUUUUUUAUCUUGUCUUCCUUAAAUAAAAAAAAAUGAUACAAUAACUAUCAUUCUAUGCUUUUGAUAUUAUAUAAUAAACAAUAGAACCUAAAAGAAAACCUAAAAGGUCAAUUAGUAAGAGAGAUUUCGAAAUAUAGAACCCGAAUUUUUGACUCUCCAUAUAUAGAAUUCUAAGUUGCAGAAAACAAAUAAAGAAACAAAAAACUGAAGAACCCUAGCUAUAGGAAGUUAAUAGCGACUAAUCAACUGUGCUUUCUGAAAAUUUAUUAGAAGAACAAUGUAUGUAUAGCAGCUCCUGGAUUUGAAUUACAGAGGAGAUCUGACUCAUCUCCCAUGUGAAUUCUUGAUCACUUGCUUCAAUUUAUUCAGAAAGUGGGGGCUCUUUUUUUUGUAUUUAAAAAUACUUGCAUUUUCUUCUUAACAUAAUUCAGAACUAAAAAGGAAAGAAAAAUAGAUUAAUGGAAUUCAAUGAAAGAUGUAUCAUCAAUUAAAUAAAAAAUUAUUUAAUUAGUCAGAGAAUCCACUGCAAACUUGGAGUCUCGUCCACGAUAAUGUUACUUUGUUCUUCAACUGGACAAAGAUUUCUCGAAUAGGCCAAACUUAAUUUUCUCAGAACUUCAAGCAAACAAAUUUCCAUAAAACUCAACAUUCUAAUUAGCAAAUUCCUAUAUUCUCCACUUAUAUAAAGAUAUGAUUGUGACAUGUUUGUACUUUCUUGCUAUGAAAACACUAACUGAGCAAAAGCACGAUAAAAAGGUUCAACAAAGUCAACAUUCUGCCAAAAAGUUUACUAUUCAGCUGACAUCUUAUAUGUUUUUCUUCAUGAUAGAAAAAGAUAUCUUACUGAAAUCAGAUAAUCUUUGAGUUAAAAGAGGUCCUUUUAUUCACAAAAUGCAGUUUCAUUAACUUACGGUGCAAUUAUUGAAGAUCCUUCUAAUGCUUUUGAUAUUGUAGUACUACUUAAACUAUAAAAUUAUUUCCAUAAACACUUAAAUUGAUCGUCUUUUUCCGUUUCUUUCCACCCACCGAACUAAAACAAUUAGUAAAGUAAAUAAAACAAAACCAAAUAAACAGAACAGAUUUCUGAUUCAAUGGGGGAAAAAGCACGAAGAAGAAAUUUAAAGAAACAGAACAGAUCAAAGAGAAAGAAAUUAAACUUACUCUUGUUUAGGCGGAUAAUCCAAUAGUAUAAUUUGUGUAAAGUACUUUAGAUUAAGGCCUCCAAAGAAGAAAUUAAACAGAGUAUGUUCUGAAUAGAGCUCUCAACGAUGACGACAAAGUGGCGCCUCACUCUUUGCAACCUUUCUGAGUUUUUUACCUUCAGAAUUUUGAAGGAGUUAGCGGCCGUCUCUAGGGAUUUUAGCUUCGUCGUCUCGCUCUUUGCAACCUUUCUGAGUUUAAUUUUUUACCUUCUGAAUUUUAGCUUCGCCAUCUCUAGGGAUUUUAGGUACGAUCGAAUUUUACCUUCUGAAUUUUGAAGGAUCUAUUAGUUAGCGGCCACGUCUCUAGGGGUUUUAAGCUGAAAGUACGUGUAUCUGAGAGAUU